rnacentral:ncRNA from 1 species
GCGUGCCCGGAGGCUGUGACACGCGGGCCACACCCGGUCGCUCCACCCGCGCCGAGCCACUGUCGAGACCGACCCGCGUUCAC